rnacentral:rRNA from 1 species
GUGCCAGCAGCCGCGGUAAUACCGGCAGCCCGAGUGAUGGCCGAUCUUAUUGGGCCUAAAGCGUCCGUAGCUGGCUGCGCAAGUCCGUCGGGAAAUCCACUCGCCCAACGAGUGGGCGUCCGACGGAAACUGCACAGCUUGGGACCGGGAGGCCUGAGGGGUACGAUCGGGGUAGGAGUGAAAUCCUGUAAUCCCGCUCGGACCACCGAUGGCGAAAGCACUUCGAGGAAACGGAUCCGACAGUGAGGGACGAAAGCCAGGGUCUCCAACCGGAUUAGAUACCCGGGUAGUCC